rnacentral:rRNA from 1 species
GACGAACGCUGGCGGCGUGCUUAACACAUGCAAGUCGAACGGAAAGGCCCUGCUUGCAGGGUACUCGAGUGGCGAACGGGUGAGUAACACGUGGGUGAUCUGCCCUGCACUUCGGGAUAAGCCUGGGAAACUGGGUCUAAUACCGGAUAGGAGCCAUUUUUAGUGUGAUGGUUGGAAAGUUUUUUCGGUGUAGGAUGAGCUCGCGGCCUAUCAGCUUGUUGGUGGGGUAAUGGCCUACCAAGGCGGCGACGGGUAGCCGGCCUGAGAGGGUGGACGGCCACAUUGGGACUGAGAUACGGCCCAGACUCCUACGGGAGGCAGCAGUGGGGAAUAUUGCACAAUGGGCGCAAGCCUGAUGCAGCGACGCCGCGUGGGGGAUGACGGCCUUCGGGUUGUAAACUCCUUUCGCUAGGGACGAAGCUUUUGUGACGGUACCUAGAGAAGAAGCACCGGCUAACUACGU